rnacentral:rRNA from 1 species
CCUACGGGUGGCUGCAGUGGGGAAUAUUGGGCAAUGGGCGCAAGCCUGACCCAGCAACGCCGCGUGAAGGAAGACGGCUUUCGGGGUGUAAACUUCUUUUGUCAGGGACGCAGCAAGUGACGGUACCUGACGCAUAAGCCACGGCUAAAUACGUGCCAGCGGCCGCGGUAAUACGUAGGUCGCAAGCGUUAUCCGGAUGUACGGGGGGUAAAGGGCGUGUGGGGGGGGAAGGCAGUCCGACGGGAAAACCACGGGCUCAACCUGUGGCCUGCCUUUGAAACUGUUUUUCUUGAGUGCUGGAGAGGCAAGCGGAAUUCCGUGUGUAGCGGUGAAAUGCGUAGAUAUACGGAGGAACACCAGUGGCGAAGGCGGAGUGCUGGACAGUAACUGACGCUGAGGCGCGAAAGCGUGGGGAGCAAACAGGAUUAGAUACCCGAGUAGUC